rnacentral:misc_RNA from 1 species
GAAAUGCGAUAAGUAAUGUGAAUUGCAGAAUUCAGUGAAUCAUCGAAUCUUUGAACGCACAUUGCGCCCGCCAGUAUUCUGGCGGGCAUGCCUGUUCGAGCGUCAUUUCAACCAUCAAGCCCCCGGCUUGUGUUGGGGACCUGCGGCUGCCCACAGGCCCUGAAAAACAGUGGCGGGCUCGCUGUCACACCGAGCGUAGUAGCAUACAUUCUCGCUCAGGGCGUGCUGCGGGUUCCGGCCGUUAAACGACCUUCAUAACCCAAGGUUGACCUCGGAUCAGGUAGGAAGACCCGCUGAACUUAAGC